GGAGGGUGCAAACGUUGUUCGGAAUCACUGGGCGUAAAGGGCGCGUAGGCGGACUUGUAAGUCGGGAGUGAAAACUCGGGGCUCAACCCCGAGCCUGCUUCCGAAACUGCGAGUCUUGAGGACCGGAGAGGAAAGUGGAAUUCCUAGUGUAGCGGUGGAAUGCGUAGAUAUUAGGAAGAACACCAGUGGCGAAGGCGACUUUCUGGACGGUUCCUGACGCUGAGGCGCGAAAGCUAGGGGAGCAAACAGGAUUAGAUACCCUGGUAGUCCUAGCCGUAAACGAUGAGUGCUAGGUGGUGGUAGUUUCAACACUUUCACCGCCGCAGCCAACGCAUUAAGCACUCCGCCUGGGGAGUACGGCCGCAAGGNUG
rnacentral:rRNA from 1 species